UACGUAGGGGGCUAGCGUUGUUCGGAUUCAUUGGGCGUAAAGGGUGCGUAGGCGGCGCGGUAAGUCGGGUGUGAAAUUUCGAGGCUUAACUUCGAAACUGCAUUCGAUACUGCCGUGCUUGAGGACUGGAGAGGAGACUGGAAUUUACGGUGUAGCGGUGAAAUGCGUAGAUAUCGUAAGGAAGACCAGUGGCGAAGGCGGGUCUCUGGACAGUUCCUGACGCUGAGGCACGAAGGCCAGGGGAGCAAACGGG
rnacentral:rRNA from 1 species